GUUUCAUUCGUCUCACGAAACGUGAAGAAAGGCGCGGUAAUUCCAAAUAAUAAAUAAUUUCUAACUAACUGAUAAAGAAAUUCUAUCUACGUAAGAACAUAGAAGAAUAUGGUAAUAUGGCAAAAUAUGAAAAUAUCAACAAAAUUGAUAAAUACGGAGCAACGUUUGCCUAAGAAGCCAAUAUAGUUUCAAAUUCCACGCUAAUUAGCAAGCAAGCACUGCACAUUAGUUCGCAUUAUCGAGCAUGGUAAUUGCCUUUAUGAACGUGCAACAUGGAUUUCGGAGUUGAAAAUUCCAUAGGGAAUUCCAGCUCCGAAGCAACGUGCCAGAGGUCAGAUGUUGCGUUUACUUAAUCCAAUGAUCUACGUAUGUAAAAGGAAACGUGAAUCUACAAUGAGAAAGAUAGCGCAUGUGAGAAGGUUCUUCUUGCGUGUUUAUUUUUGAAAUUUUUUAAUCUCCUGGCAUUUUCAGAAUUUUCGAACUUCUUGAAACUGUCAUAAUUUAAUCAGAGAGAAAGCUAUUGUAAUUUAAUCACGAAGGGAAUCAUGAAUUUAAAUCUGCAUUUUAUAGUCUGAGUAGUACGACAUUGAUAAAUGAUUCUGUGGCGACUAUUUCGCUUACAGUUUUAAUAAAAAAAUCACUUUUCUCAGACAUAAUA